CUCCUACGGGAGGCAGCAGUGGGGAAUUUUGGACAUGGGCGAAAGCCUGAUCCAGCAAUGCCGCGUGUGUGAAGAAGGCCUUCGGGUUGUAAAGCACUUUUGUCCGGAAAGAAAUCCUUGGCUCUAAUACAGUCGGGGGAUGACGGUACCGGAAGAAUAAGCACCGGCUAACUACGUGCCAGCAGCCGCGGUAAU
rnacentral:rRNA from 1 species